rnacentral:rRNA from 1 species
UGCGUAGGGUCCGAGCGUUGUCCGGAAUUAUUGGGCGUAAAGGGCUCGUAGGCGGUUCGUCACGUCGGGAGUGAAAACUCGGAGCUUAACUCCGAGCCUGCUUCCGAUACGGGCAGACUAGAGGUAGGCAGGGGAGAGCGGAACUCCUGGUGUAGCGGUGGAAUGCGCAGAUAUCAGGAAGAACACCGGUGGCGAAGGCGGCUCUCUGGGCCUUACCUGACGCUGAGGAGCGAAAGCGUGGGGAGCGAACAGG